rnacentral:lncRNA from 1 species
AAAGGGAAGGUGGAGAGAGAGAAUGAGGAGAAAAUGGAAGAGGGAGAGGAUACAAAGGAGGAGGAGGAAGAAGUAAAGUGGAGCAGAAGCACAUGGUGCGGGUGCACACGUGGGAAGCUCAUUCCCCAAGCCGUCUCCCAGGCCAGCCUGGACUCCCCAGGGUGUCUGCUCCAAGUACGAAUGUGUAGAGUCACUGCUGUCUUCAUCUUGGGCUUGCUGCCCUGGUUCCCUACCGCCUUCAAACAUCUCUCAAAGGAGGGAUCCCCAGGGAAAAGUGUGAGCAAGUGGAACCGAAUGCUGCCGAGGGACAGCUUUGAUCUGCAGUGAGCCAGGCUGCCCUUCAGUCUCAUCUCCAGUACACAGUCCUUCUCCAUGGACUUUCCCCUUUUGCAAACUGGCCACAGUAUGCAUGCAUGCGGAAGAUGGCACUCGCUGUCUCAACGCUCUGAGUCCUACCCUCC